ensembl:miRNA
UACAGGAGCUACUGCCACGUUCCACGGGUGAUGAGGCAGCUGUGCGUGGCUCAGCUCUGCAGC